GACGAACGCUGGCGGCGUGCUUAACACAUGCAAGUCGAACGAUGAAGCUGGAGCUUGCUCCGGUGGAUUAGUGGCGAACGGGUGAGUAACACGUGAGCAAUCUGCCCUUCACUCUGGGAUAACUGCGGGAAACUGUAGCUAAUACCGGAUACGAGACCUUGGGGCAUCCCAGGGUCUGGAAAGAAUUUCGGUGAAGGAUGAGCUCGCGGCCUAUCAGGCUAGCUGGUGAGGAAAUGGCUCACCAAGGCGACGACGGGUGGCCGGCCGGAGGGGGUGACGGGCCACACUGGGACAGAGACACGGCCCAGACUCCUAGGGGAGGCAGCAGGGGGGAAUAUUGCAAAAUGGGCGAAAGCCUGAUGCAGCAACGCCGCGUGAGGGAUAAAGGCCUUCGGUUUGUAACCCUCUUUUAGUAGGGAAGAAGCGCAAGUGACGGUACCUACAGAAAAAGCACCGGCUAACUACGUGCCAGCCGCCGCAGUAA
rnacentral:rRNA from 1 species